rnacentral:rRNA from 1 species
CGAAAGCCCGCAAGGGUAAGUAGAGUGGCGCACGGGUGAGUAACACGUGGACAACCUGCCUUCGAGUGGGGAAUAACCUUCCGAAAGGAGGGCUAAUACCGCAUAACACUUCGGGACGCAAGUUCUGGGGUUGAAAAGAGCAAUUUGCUCGAAGAGGGGUCCGCGCCUGAUUAGCUAGUUGGUGAGGUAACGGCUCACCAAGGCUUCGAUCAGUAGCCGUCCUGAGAGGGAGCACGGCCACACUGGAACUGAGACACGGUCCAGACUCCUACGGGAGGCAGCAGUGGGGAAUUUUUGGCAAUGGGCGAAAGCCUGACCAAGCAACGCCGCGUGGGUGAUGAAGUAUCUUGGUACGUAAAACCCUUUCGGCAGGGACGAAAAAAAUGACGGUACCUGCGGAAGAAGCCCCGGCUAACUCCGUGCCAGCAGCCGCGGUAAUACGGGGGGGGCAAGCGUUGUUCGGAAUUACUGGGCGUAAAGGGCGCGUAGGCGGUUGGAUAAGUCAGCUGUGAAAACCACGGGCUUAACUUGUGGCCUGCAGUUGAGACUGUCUGGCUUGAGUGUGGGAGAGGAGAGUGGAAUUCCUGGUGUAGCGGUGAAAUGCGUAGAUAUCAGGAGGAACACCGGUGGCGAAGGCGGCUCUCUGGACCACAACUGACGCUGAGGCGCGAAAGCUAGGGGAGUAAACAGGAUUAGAUACCCUGGUAGUCCACGCCCUAAACGAUGUCGACUGGUUGUUGGGGGUUUGACACUCUCAGUAACGAA